GACGAACGCUGGCGGCGUGCUUAACACAUGCAAGUCGAACGGAAAGGCCCUGCUUUUGUGGGUUGCUCGAGUGGCGAACGGGUGAGUAACACGUGAGUAACCUGCCCUUGACUUUGGGAUAACUUCAGGAAACUGGGGCUAAUACCGGAUAGGAGCUCCUGCUGCAUGGUGGGGGUUGGAAAGUUUCGGCGGUUGGGUAUGGACUCGCGGCUUAUCAGCUUGUUGGUGGGGUAGUGGCUUACCAAGGCUUUGACGGGUAGCCGGCCUGAGAGGGUGACCGGCCACAUUGGGACUGAGAUACGGCCCAGACUCCUACGGGAGGCAGCAGUGGGGAAUAUUGCACAAUGGGCGGAAGCCUGAUGCAGCAACGCCGCGUGCGGGAUGACGGCCUUCGGGUUGUAAACCGCUUUCGCCUGUGACGAAGCGUGAGUGACGGUAAUGGGUAAAGAAGCAACGGCUAACUACGUG
rnacentral:rRNA from 1 species